rnacentral:rRNA from 1 species
UACAGAGGUCUCAAGCGUUGUUCGGAUUCAUUGGGCAUAAAGGGUGCGUAGGCGGCGCGGUAAGUCGGGUGUGAAAUCUCGGGGCUUAACUCCGAAACUGCAUUCGAUACUGCCGUGCUUGAGGACUGGAGAGGAGACUGGAAUUUACGGUGUAGCGGUGAAAUGCGUAGAUAUCGUAAGGAAGACCAGUGGCGAAGGCGGGUCUCUGGACAGUUCCUGACACUGAGACACGAAGGCCAGGGGAGCAAACGGG